CCUAACUCAAACAAAUAGGUGGAAACAUGUUUACUAAGCUAUUGGGUAAAAUGUGAUGGACUGCUGUUUUGUUAAUCAGUACAACAAGGCUAGACUAACACAAGGGUUGGGAAGAGUGUGGCUCUGACCAAUCAUGGUGGUCACCCCAGGGUUCAGUAAUCUGUUUUCCUCUUUUGUAGUGAUUCUUGAAAAUUCUGAUGAAAGGGAUAAUGCAAGAAGAAAACAGAAACGGAUAUGGUCUCCGACAGAAAUUGCUGCAGUACUGAGGCAUUUCCGGGACCACGUUGCAAGGGGUAAACUGGCUAGUAAAAUUGAAUGCCAACAGUGCAAGACUGCUGAGCAUCCUGCUUUGGCUAAUCGUUCUCUGCAAAAUAUAAGAGACUUUGUUAGGAAUCGGGGCUUAACACUAAAAAAAAAA
ensembl:lncRNA